rnacentral:lncRNA from 1 species
AACCACAGAUCUCUCUUAUUUUUCGGCAUUUUGGGGAAUAAUGUUGGAAUUCACUGUGGAUAAUGAGGAGACAUUUAGAAGACCUUCAGUGACUGCUGCCCAGUGUCCUCCCUGCACAGCACUGGAGUGUUCCCAGGAUGGUCAAGUUCUCCUAGGAUUACAUAAUUGGAGGUGCUGGAAACCCAUUUCUUAGCCUCCUACAACUUGCUACAGCUAUCUUUCUGCAAAGGAUUGGGCUAUGGCUCAGGCACAAGGACCCAGAUGGAGCGGAGCUUAAAAAAUAAAAUUAAUAUGCAUUUGGGAAACAAUUACUCAGGCAAACCAACACAUACAUAAUGGAUUCUGUCCAAAGCUUCAUUUUCCAAACUGCAGAACAAUAAUAUGCGUAUUAACCCAGGUGAGUGUCUAAGCAGAUUCUUGGCAGCCUCUGAUUAGAUAAAGGAGCUCAUGCAUCCUGAAUAUAAUUUACAUAGUUAAAAUUAGGCACUAUUACAAAGGGACAGGGAUGAGAUGCAUUAAAGUUCAAUUAAUUGUCACUUUCAAAUUUUCUUUUUUACUUUUAAAAAAUUCUUAGUAACUUUGAAGUUUAAGCAUCAUUUUAUUUUCUUUCCAAAAUGGUUAAAUCUGAGUUUUAACUUAAUUGUUGAAUGUUUAGGAGGCUCUAGUAGUGGAAGGUCUUUUUAAAAAUUUCUUAGAAACAAACAAACAAAAAUAUAUAUAAAGAAACGUAAAUUAUGUAACCUUAUUUCUUAUUAAUUCAUGGAAAAUUCAAAAUGAUGAUUUAAUACUAUUCUUGUUUGUAGAUAUAGCAGCAUCUGAUAAAAUACAGGGAGAUUUCUUAAACAGAAAUAAUUUGCCAGAAGUGAAGACAUUUCAAAUUUAAAGUAGAGAAAGAAUUUCAAAAUGCACUUAAUUAAUGAAAAUCUGAAUAAAUCAUUUUGGAAUGAAAAUGAAAUUUCUUAUACUUAUAAAUUUAAAAGCAAAUGAAUAGUGAAAUGAAAAGAAAUCAUAAAAAGGAUCAAUGUUUUAUUAAAAUAACAUUUUUUCAUAUCAUUUUUUCAUGACAAUAAAGUAUGAGUAUUUAAAUUCAUAUUUUUAUUGAUAAAUCAUACUCGUAUAGAUUUGAUGUUAUAUACUAAUGUGUCUUGCUUAUUUCACUUAACAGGUUCAUCCAUGUUGUAAAUGACAGGGUUUCCUUCUUCCACUGGGUAUAUAUAUAUCACAGUUUCAGUUCAUUCAUCUAUUGAUGGACACUUAGAUUGAGUCCAUAUCUUGGCUAAAGUGAAUAAUAGCAAUGAACAUGGGAGGGAAAAUAAUCCUUUUGCUUGUUUAUUUCAGUGCCUUUGGAUAUAUAUUCAGAAAUGGGAUUGCUAUAGUAGUUCUCGAUAUUUUCCAUAUUGUCUGUACUAAUUUACAUUCCCACCAACAGUGUACAAGGGUUCCCUUUUUCAAAAUCCUUGCUAAAACUUGUCUUUCUUCUUUUUAAUAAAAGUUACUCUGACAGGUGUGAGGUGACAUCUUACGUGGUUUUAAUAAUGCAGUUCUCUAAUGAUUAGUGAUGUUAAGGAUCUUUUCAUGUAUUACCUGUUGGCCAUGUUCAUGUCUUUUUUUUUUUUUUAAUUUCUUUUUGCGUCCUUGGCCCAUUUUUAAAUUGGAUUAUUUGUUUUCCUGCAAUUGACUUGUUUCAUAUAAGAAUAUAAGAACUCCUCAUGCAUUUUGGAUAUUGUUAUGAUUUGGAUGUAUGUUGGUUCCCAAAGCUUAUGUAUGAGACAAUGCAAGAACAUUCAGAGGUGAAAUGAUUAGAUCAUGAAAGUUGUGACCUAAUUGAUGGAUUAAUCCUCUGAAUAUGGAUUAACUGGGUAGUAACUUAGGAAGAUAAGGUAAGCUGCUGGAGGAAGUGGGUCACUGGAGGGAGGCGUGACUUUUGGACUUAUAUUUUGUCCCUGGUGAGCAGAGCUAUCUCUGCAUCCUGGUUUCUAUGUCUUAAGCUGCUUUCAUCUACCACACUUCUACCAUGAGGUCCUGCCUGCCUUGGGCCCAGAGCAAUGGAUUUGGCUAUGCAUGGAGUGAACCUCUGAAACCAUGAGCUAAAACUUUUUCUCCAUUAAGUUGUUCCUGUUAGGUAUAUUGGUCACAGUGACGCAAAGCUGUCUGAAACAAAUAUUAAUCCCUUGUUAGAUGUAUCAGUUUGCGAAUAUUUUGUAUUAGCCCGAGGGUUAUCUCUUCACUUUUUUAAUUGCUAAGGUUGAGGGCUGAAAAAGAAAAGACAUCCAUACUUAGACAUGAUAGAAAAAAAUGACUUUUUGAAAUCCACUCUUGGAAUAGGAACUAUCAUUUGCCGAGUACCCACUAUACUUCAGACGUUAGCUAAAGAUUGUAUUUGAAUUAUAUCAUUGAGGUCUGUCAUCAGCCAUAAAAGAGUAUAUUUUCCUCAUUUUACUUUAAACAUGAAACAUUAGGCAAAGGAUUCCUAGCACAGUAAAGAGGAUUAGAAUAUAACACAGGCAGUGACUGGUUCUCAUCCAUUUUGCAAUAAAAAGACCACAGUAUUAUCAUAUCACAUCAUAUUUUUCCUUUUGGUAUUGAAGGGUGAAUCAGGGUGCAGCAUUUGAUUCUCUUAGUGGAAGAAUUUUUCUUGACACUAAUGCCAUUCAAGAGCUUUAAUUUUUCAAGUCUUAAGGAAGGCAUACUUCAUCACGGAGAGUUCCUUUCUUUACAUCAUCAAUAAAGAGCUGGGUAAGUUAAGGUUUUUCUUUAUCAUGUAAAAUUAUAAUAAUUUGUAAUCAUGGGAGUUCUUUCCAUCUUUUACCCGAUGUAGCCUGGGUAAAUGAAGUUGUAAGGCAUUUUAUGUAUAAAAGCACUACCAAAAAUACUCCCUUCCAGGAGCAUAAAUUGAUACUUUGGGGAUGAAACAAAUCAGGUUCAAUAGCUUCCCGCCAUAAUGAUGGUGGGCACACAGGUAAGAGAAGGUAUAUUUUGUUUUCUCUUUCAAAUUCUUAAAUCAGGAGAUAAACAAACAAAAGGAGAAAUUAAUCCAAGAAAUAAAACAAGAACUCUUUGUGCAAUUUGUGCUUCAUGUAUUCUGUAUUCACGUCGAUAUAAUUUUUCAUGGAUUUUUUGAAAUAAGAAAGACAAAAAAAUGCAUGUAUGUGUAUGUACACACAUACAAGCAUGAAACUAAGUGCAUAAAAGAUCUAGAAUAUAAUUAUAGAGGCUCUUCUUUUUAAAAUUCACAUUUUAUUUUCAUGUUUAUGCAGGUGAGGUUCGAAAACACAGAAGACAUUCAAUUCAGAAUUACGGUUUUCACAAAAACUGCUGCAUAAUUCUCUCUCACAUUUAUUCAUAUUUUUAUAAAACAUAUGACCAUUUCCAAAACCUCUGGGUAUAAUAACAUAUUUUAAAAUACCAGCACAAUUACCAAGCUGAAAAAGAGCACUAACUAGGCAUUUUUCCCAAAGAAAACCAUUUCAAACAUCUACUUGGAAUUAUAUAUUAAGCCCGGAAUAUAAUAUUCCAAAUAUAUAAAAGAAUGAGUUAUCAUUUCUUUGGGAGUUGUAACUUUGGAUUUUAGACUUCUGUUUAGUAUUUCAAACGUGGCACUGCAUUUAUGUAAUUUCUGGGUGGGUAUUGAAUAUACAAGCUUUGAUGAUAAACUGGCUUCCCUUCAUUUCCUUGAAAUCAACACAGAAUUUCAUACCUAUUUUAAUACGUGUUAGGUUUUCUGCAUACAAAUGAAGCAUUACUAAACAAUUCCAACUGUAUGUUUUAAAAAAUCAGCACAGUUCAAUGUUUCCCUAAUUCUCUGAGUCUGGGGAACAUAAAUAAUCAUUUUAAUUCUCUGGUAGACACUGAAUUACAUAGUAAAUUAUAUCAAAGCCUGGAAAAGCUCCAUGUUUUUAAACUCACAUAUUCCUUUUAUAUGAAGAAUCUGAGAUAUGCAUUAACUCCAAAUGGUAUUUAAAGUUUUGACUAAAAUUAACUAUAGCACUAGAAAAAAAAUUCUUACUAUUUUAAGAAAAAAGCUCCAGAGGCGAUUUGGAAAAAAAAAAAGAUUUUAUUGAAGAAGAGAAAGGCAGAAAGAAAGAGAGAUAAUUAAUAGGAUAUACUAGAGAUGAAUAACUAAAUGAAAAUAUACAGAUCUGUCAGAGCCCAGAGCAGUCAGAAUAAUAUUAAUCAAAUCUUACUGACUCUUAAUUGGAAUAAUGAGAAAACAUUCUUAGCCUGCUUGAUCAUGUUGGCAUUUUAAUUAAACUUUCUUGGAUCCCAGAGAAAACAAUAGUUUUUUUGUUGAAACUCUUUUUGUUCGACUGUUACCAAAAAUACCUUUGAAGGCAGUAACCAAGUGAUAUAAUUGGGGUCUUUAUGUGUGGCAACAAGCAGAACAUGUUACCAUAGAUUCAAAACUUUGGCUUUUAAAAAGUUGACUAUAAAUCUGCGGCUACAAGAAACCAGAACAAUGAAAUGUGGAUUUAAUUAGAACAAACUUCCCACAUUUUCAAAGAUAAUGCCCUGGUUAUUCUUCUAUAGCAUGUACCUAAUAGAACAGUUCUGGUCUAGUGGAAUAAAGAUUUUCAAUAAAUAAAUAGCUGACAAUUUAAUACAUACUUAUAUAACAUAUUAUGUACCAAAGGCAAUGUUCUUAGUGCUGGAGAAGUAUUACUCAUUUAAUCUUCAUAACCACCUUCUAAUAUAGGUAUCAUUUUUAUUUCCAUUUUAAUGAUGAGGACACAGAGGCACAGAGAGGUUAAUAAUUUGUCUGAGAUUGGAUUGUAUAGCUAACUAGCUGCAGAGCAGGAACUUAAACUAGGAAAUAUGAUUUCAGCAUCUGUUUGUUCAACCCCUGCACCUUGCCUCCCAACACCUUCCUCAAAUACCUUUUGUGUGCCCAUCAAGUCUGAUUCGAUGGUAUACAGGUAAUGUCUCAUUUCAUCCUCAGAAUAGUUCUGUAAACUAAGUAUUAUUGUCAUUUUACAGAUGGGCAAAAUAAGGCACAGCAAAAUUAAAUAACUUGAGGAAUGACUAAAAUGGAAGAAUGACUAAAAUUAAAUGACUAAAAUGGAAGAAUUUAAAACCAUUUCUGUCAAACUCUAAAGUGAAUGUUUUGUCCAAUAUCUUCCCAAUAUGCCAAAGUUUUUUUUUGUUUAAAGAUUCAGCCAUUUGAUUUAUUACCUUACAUUCCCUGUGCUCUUUCAGUACAUAUAUACUUUACGUUUUUAAUAAAAUUAAGACAUUGAAACAGAUAAAUUGAAAUUCAUGUGAUUAUAGAUAUAGAUUAUAGAUAUAGAUUUUAGAUAGAGAUAUAGAUUCAUCCCCAUCUAGGGAAGCAUCUAUGAGGUCAGACCCUUAUGUAAUUUGGGGGGAUCAAUUUUAGAAUAAAGAGUGCAUUUAUGCUUGCAAAAUUAGACAUGUAAGUAAGUACUCAUUGUGAGCAAAGAAAAUGACAUAACAAAUGAUGAUACUAUCGUACCAUGAUGCAGUCUCUGAUCUUUGCAUCCACAUGCUGGGUAAGUCUUCACAAUGGGCUGAAGUCCUCUAGCUGGAAUGUUAGCCAUAGUUUCAUGGUAGUUCAUGACCAUAAAAAUGCGUUGCCAUGGCUUUUGUAAGCUUUUGGGUAUCAUUUUGGAACAUACACAAAUAAGCAAGGGUUCAUGAUGUUAGUAACUUCAUUAGCUUUGCAGUAAAUUUAGGUUUGCAGUGAAUCUGUCAGGCACCCACUUUCUUCUAGGCAAGGUGUGCCCUUCUGCAAAUGCAAGCUUGCCAAUCAACAACUAUAGUAGGCCAGCAUCAUGAACAUGUGGUCUGACCGGGAGAACUCUGGAUAGAAAAAGAGAGAAAAUGCCAUUCUUCAUUUCUGAUCAGAUUAUACCAAUCUAGAAAUAUUGGAGAAAAUCUAUAAUAAUUUACACUUCAAAGUAAGAAAAUAGAUAAAACUUUGACUUUUUUUUUUUUCUGGUCAAGAAAACAUUGGUAGGAAGAAAUUCUGCCUAAGAGUUCAAUUUAGAUCCAAGGGAAAUAAAAAAGUUUUGACCUUUCCCUAGGGCUUUCUGGAAUCAGAAAUGGUGAGCAAGGUAGAGGGGAAGUUAUUUUCAAGCAUAAUUAAAAAAAUUGCAUCUGUAUUGGAGAUGGAAAAAGAAGAAAUGAAAACUGAAAAUCUCUGCAGAAUGUUGGAAAACAUUAUUUCCAUUCCAGGGUGAGAAACUUGGAGAUUCACUUGCUCUCUAAGAAAUGCUCAUCCUUAAUGAUUAAUCUGUUACUUGCUUUAUGAAUACAGAAAGUCAGAGUGAAGAAAAACAUAAAAGAUCCUCCUUGUUCCAGCCCCAAUUUCAUCCCCCCUCAGCAAGUAUCUGCAUUAACCAUAGGAGACUGGAAGCCCAUAGAGAGCACAAAAAGGUAUUCCUCACAACAUUCUGGAGAAGUUGAAGACAGAGAACCGCCCCAGAUCCCCCACUGAGGGAUUCCUGCAGUAGAGAAGCAGGUCUCUGGGUGACAGGUGCAGUGCAGGGCUUGUCUUUUCUCCCCUGCAUGUGCAGAGCCUGGGGCAGAAGAUGGAGACCUCGAUGCCAUUGGUCUAAUCAUUUUCAAGUUAUAAAUCAGAUAGUAAAUCAUUAAAUAAAAAUAUGUAGUUAUUUUCUACCUUGAAAAAAAUGUGCUUUCAUAAUGACAAAAUGGAAAAAUAUGUGCUAAAGUUAUGACUUUCAGAUGACUGAAAGUUGGCAAAAUGUAUCAAAGAUGACUGAUUUGACUAUUUUCAUAAAUGGUUUGAUGUUCUGUUUAUGGGUCAAAGAUUUAUGAUUAUAUAAUAAUGACAUACAUAAUUUAUAAAUUAUCUUUUUUUAAUCCAUAUAUUUACUUUUUAUUGAAUUUGUUAAUGUUACAGAGUUCUCGCACUGCCAAACCAUGCCUGAGAAUCCAAAGAAGGAAAUGGUAUAAUGGACAGCCUCAUCAACCCAUCAUACAGUAUAUUAAAACUUGAUUCAUAUGCAUUUUGAGAAUUUCACAAUCUUUUAUAAAAUUAUAACAGGAGUUGGAGUUUAAGUCUGCCGAAGGUCUUCAAAAUUUCCAGUACAGUAUGCCAUUAAAUAAAACCGCCUCAUAUUCAUCUCAGUUCAUUCCUCAACAAUAUAACCCAACAAAAGUUUGUGGGAAAAACGCAUACUUUAAGGAAAAUAUGUGGCUCAGGGUCCAAGAGAUUACUUGUUAAGUUUUUUGGCUCCCAAAUCAUGUCUUCAGUAUAACCAAGAAUUUUAAAAUUCUCCUUUAAUCAUCCUACCUCCCCGCUAUUUAUUUUAUAAAGUUUCUUUUUUUCUUUCCUGAAUUUCACUAACUAUAUUGUUGUAACCAAAAUUUCACAUGAUUUGUUUUCUUGGCAGUAAUUAUCUAAAGGAGGGGUUGUAAACACGUCAGAGAAACAAAUACUAGAUACUUUAGGUUUUCCAAAUAUGUGACCUCUGCCACAACUGCUCAGUUCAACCAUUACAGUGCUUAGUUUUCUACAGACAGUAUGUAAACAAACAAGUGUGACUGUGUUCCAAUAAAACUUUAUUUACACACGCUGUACCCUGUUGACCCUGAUGUAAAGGGUUUACACAUAAAAUGAAGUUCCAAGGAGAUUCCAAGAUGGCGGAGGAGAGGAGAACCUGUUACUGGCUGCUCUGUGUGUGACUCUGAGGGAGAGGUAGGAUGUUUUCCCCCACGGGGGCUCCCAUUAACGAAUUUAAGCUUCUUGGGUCGUGUGACAGGAUUCUAAACAGCAGAUUGUUGCAAGUGAGCACAGAACGCAGGGAAAGCAGAGUUGCUCUUUGCCACUGAAGCAGGCCAGCAGUGCCUUGCUGGAGCCCAACGGCAGAGUUUGGGGGGCAGCUUUCUGGCAGCACGGAGAGGCAGGGUUAUUGCUGCUUCAGGGCUGAAGCACGCCAGACUGCGACCUCGUCAGCGCCGGAUGCCAGACCGAGGACCGAGUUCAGGACAUAGCAUAGGAACAGCCCAGCUCCUUCCACCUCACUGGACACCCCCCCGCGGGAAAGAGACGGUCUCCAUCUUGGAAAAUCUAUCUCGUCAACUUUUGGCGGGUGUGGCUGACAGCACGGAUGGGCAUCUGAACAGGUGUGUGGUUCCCAGCCCCCCCAUCCCCAGCUGUGAUAAUUCAAAACUGUUCUGGCCAGCUUUUGGUGGGCUUGGCCAUCAGAGCUGAGUGCAACUGAGAAGGUGCCUGGUCUCCAACUCCCCUCCCCCAGUUGUAAUAACCCAAAACCUUUCUCGCCAACUCUUGGUGGGUGUGGCUAUCAGAGGGAAUAGACAGAACAGGUUGCCGGUUUCCAACUCCCUCUCUCCCUAGCUGUGAUGACAUGGUGACCACCCAGCACAGAGAUAGCGCUCAGUUGAUCAGGAGCGCGAGGUGGCCAGGGCAUCACCCACCCAGAGUGAACCCAGGGCUGUGGACAAGAGAUCCAUCAAUUGGGGCCUGGUGGGCAAGAGAGGGGAGGGGGAUAGAGACUGGGAGAAACCCAGAGAGACUGGGAUUGGAGAGGCACCCGGAAGGUAAGGGAGAGCCGCCUCACAGGGUUGCUUCCACCACCCUGAGGGCAGAGACCCAACCUGGAAUGCACAAACCCACCUACUGGAAGAGAAGAAAACAGAAUUCUAAGAGUGAUUUUUUUUCCUUUUUUUCUCUUUUUUUUUCUUUUCCCUUCUUUCCUUUUUUCUUUUUAUCUAUUUCUUCUUUUUUCCUUUCCUUUUCUUUUCAUCCCUUUCUCUCAAUCUCUUUUCCCCCUUUUUUUCUUCUUUUUACUUUUCUUCCUCCUUCUCUUCCUCUUUCAACUUCCUAAGUGUUACUAUUUCUGCUACGUGUAAUUUACUAAAUGCAAAUAGAUGUUUGUUUCUAUGCUUCUUAUUGUCCUCCCAUGUACUUGUCUACCCUAAAAUACAUCCUGUCUAUUCCCCUGCUAAUAACCCCUUCAUUAAAAAAAGAGUUCUCCUCCAAAGUUGCUAAGAUAUAUUAAUUCCAUACCCUCACAUCUUUCCCCCUUAACAUAAUGUUCUACGUCCGACCCUCAGUUCUCUAUACGCCAUCAGAAACUGUAUGCCUUUUAUAAAACUAAUGACUAUAUUUUAAAUAAUAAACAUUUCUAGACAUAGAGACUAACUAUAAAUGUAUUAAUAACAAAAACUAGCUCAUAGAUGAUGUAUUGUUGAUAUUGGCAACUGUUAAUAUUGUCUUUCCCCACAAAGGAGAGAUCUCGGAACUAUACAAGAGCAAUAUAAAUCUAUAGGGAAAAAAUAAUAACACAACAGUCAUACAGAGCUGGAAAGAAAUGUGAGCAAAAUGAAAAGACAAAGAAAGAAAGGACCACAAACAAUGCAAGACAAUACAACUUUAGAAGAGGUAACAUCUACAGCAGAAAGAAUGUCAGAUAAAGAUUUCAAGAUAUACAUGGUCAGAUGUUCUGGAGUCUCAGGGAAGACAUUAGACAACAAAUGCAGACAAUGAAAGAUCACUUUUAUAAUGAAUAACAUAAACAAAUCCAAGAAGCAAAAGAUCAACUCUACAGUGAGAUAGAGUUUAUAUAUAUAUAUAUAUAUAUAUAUAUAUAUAUAUAUCCCCAGAAGUCCUAGAAAUGAAAGAAAUGAUAAACCAAAUUAAAAACUCAAAUGACAGUAUUACCAGCAGAGUAUACCACUUAGAAGAUAGGACAUCUGACAACGAAGACAAAGUAUGUCAUCUCAAAAAGUACUUAGACAGAACAGUGAGACUGAUAAGAAACCACGAGCAGAACAUCCAAGAAAUAUGGGAUAGCAUAAAUAGAUCAAAUUUAAGAGUUAUUGGGAUAGAAGAAGGUAUAGAGGUCCAAACCAAAGGAAUGAGCAAUCUAUUCAAUAAAAUAAUAUUAGAAAACUUUCCAGACAUGAAGAAUGAAAUGGAAAUCCAUAUCCUAGAAGCCUACAGGACGCCGAAAGUGCAAAAUCACAAAAAAUCCACACCAAGACACAUUAUAAUGAAAAUGCCCAACAUACAGAACAAGGAGAGAAUUUUAAAAGCCACAAGAGAAAGGAAGCAGAUUACAUUUAAGGGUAAACCAAUUAGGUUAACAGCUGAUCUUUCAACACAGUCUCUGAAAGCUAGAAGAUCCUGGAACAUCAUAUUUCAAAUGCUGAAAGAUAAUGAGUUUCAACCAAGAAUCUUGUAUCCAGCAAAAUUAAGCUUCAGGUUUGAAGAUGAAAUAAAAACCUUCCAUGAUAAACAAAAGUUAAAAGAAUUUGCAGCUAGAAAACUGGCACUUCAAAACAUCCUUGGCAAAACAUUUCAUGAAGAGGAAAUGAAAAAUAACAACGAAAACCAACAGUGGGAGGUAGUACAGUAAAGGAAAAACUAAUAAAAGAGGAAAAACAAAUCAUGUUAAAUAACAAAAAUAAACAAAUAUGGCUGGAAGUACAAACUAUAUCUCAAUAGUAACCCUAAAUGUUAAUGGCUUAAACUCACCUAUCAAAAGACACAGGCUAGUAGACUGGAUUUAAAAAAAGAUCCAACAACAUGCUGCCUACAGGAGAAUCAUCUGAUAGGAAAAACAUACACAGACUGAAGGUGAAAUGUUGGGAAAAAUCAUACCACUCACAUGGACCUCGGAAGCAAGUGGGGGUGACCAUACUCAUAUCAACUAAAAUAGACUUCAAGCCAAAGUCAAUCAAAAAGGAUAAAGAAGGACACUAUGUACUGCUCAAGGGAACCAUACACCCACAAGACAUAACAAUCAUUAAUAUUAAUAUUAAUAAAACAAUGGUGCAGCUAUGUUCAUCAAACAAACUCUUCUCAAGUUCAAGAGUCAAAUAGACCACAACACAAUAAUCAUGGGUGAUUUUAACACACCUCUCUCACCACUGGACAGAUAUUCCAAACAAAAAUUGAAUAAAGAAACUAUUGAACUCAAUAACACAACUAAUAACUUAGACUUAAUUGACAUAUAUAGAAUAUAUCAACCAACACUUUCUGUGGAUACACUUUCUUCUCAGCAGCACAUGGAUCCUUCUCAAAAAUAGACCAUAUAUUAUGCCACAAGGCAACCCUUAGCAAAUACAAAGGAGUAGAGAUACUACCGUGCAUUUUAUCUGUUCAUAAUGUAAUGAAAUUGGAAAUCAAUGAUAAAAUAAGGAAGAAAAAUUCCUACAUCACAUGGAUAAUGAACAAUAUGCUACUGAAUGAACAAUGGGUUACAGAAGACAUCAAGGAGGAAAUUAAAAAAUUCUUAGAGGUAAAUGAGAACACAGACACAAUAUAUUGAAAACUCCUGUGCCGUAGUCUGGCUGGGCACAAUUCAGGAGCCACUUGUCAAAAGAAACGAACUUUAUUUUUAGAACCACACACGCCAAACAAAACAGCUCCUCAGGAAAACCUUCAGAGCCCAAGUGCCACCACCGGCUUCCCACAAGCCUCUCCACUUCCCCCCACUCCUCCUGCUCUUGAGGCCGAUUGGCUGGGUCACGUGGGCGGAGCCAAAAAAAGUCCCCCAAUGAGCAGCUCCGUAGUGGAAACAGCCCAAUGAGCAUCACCGCAGAGGAGCCAAUCAGCUAGAAGUUGCUGGGGCCGCUGUGAGCCAAUCAUCAGCUGGCAGUCUGAAAGUUUGCUGGGUCCCCUUUGGCUGUGGCUCUCAACACUCCUGGACACUAUGAAAGCAGUACUAAGAGGAAAAUUCAUUGCAUGGAGUUCAUUCCUUCAAAGAAGAAAAAUCCAACAAAUAAAUAAACUCACACUACAUCUCAAAGCCCUAGAAAAAGAAGAACAAAUCAGCAGCAAAUGCAGUAGAAGGCAAGAAAUAAUUAAAAUCAGAGCUGAAAUCAAUGAAAUCGAAACAAAAGAAACUAUUGAAAAAAUUGACAAAACUAAAAGUUGGUUCUUUGAAAAAUAAAUAAGAUUGACAGGCGCCCUUAGCCAUGCUAACAUAGAGAAGAAGAGAGAGAACCCAAAUUACUAGCAUAUGUUAUGAAAAAGGAAAUAUCACAACAGACACUACAGAAAUACAGAAGAUAAUUAGAAAUUAUUUUGAAACCUUAUACUCUAAUAAAAUAGAAGAUAUUGAAGGUAUCAAUAAAUUCCUAAAGUCACAUGACCUGCCCAGAUUGAGUCAGGAGGAUAUACACACUUAAACAGACCAAUAUCAAGUGAGGAAAUAGAAGAAGCCAUCAAAAGGUUACCAACCAAGAAAAGCCUAGGACCAGAUGGAUAUACAGCUGAGUUUUACAAGACCUUUAAAGAAGAACUAAUACCAAUACUCUUCAAUCUAUUUCAGGAAAUAGAAAAAGAGGGAGAACUUCCAAAUUCAUUCUAUGAGGCCAAUAUCACCCUGAUUCCAAAGAUACAUCAAAGAAAGAAAACUUCAGACCAAUAUCUCUAAUGAAUAUAGAUGCAAAAUCCUCAAUAAAAUUCUGGCAAAUCGAAUUCAAAAACACAUCAAAAAGAUUGUGUACCAUAAUCAAGUGGAAUUCAACCCAGGGAUGCAAGGUUGGUUCAACAUAUGGAAAUCAAUAAAUGUAAAUCAUCACAUCAAUAGCCUUAAAGAUCAGAACCAUUCGAUCAUCUCAAUAGAUGCAGAAAAAGCACUUGACAAAAUACAGUACCCUUUCAUGUUCAAAACACUAGAAAAACUAGGGAUAACAGGAACAUAUCUCAACAUUGUAAAGGCUAUCUACGCUAAGCCUCAGGCCAACAUCAUUCUAAACAGAGAAAAACUGAAGGCAUUCCCUCUAAAAUCUGGAAUAAGACAGGGAUUCCCUCUCUCACCACUUCAAUUCAACAUAGUUCUUGAAACGCUGGCCAGAGCAAUUAGACAGAUGAAAGGAAUUAAAGGAAUAACUAUAGGAAAAGAAUAACUUAAUCUAGCACUAUUUGCUGAUGAUAUGAUUCUAUACCUAGAAUACCCAAAAAACUCCACCAGAAAACUUCUAGAACUAGUAAAUGAAUUCAGCAAAGUGGCAGGAUAUAAAAUCAACACCCAUAAAUCAAAGGCAUUUCUGUAUAUCAGUGACAAAUCCUCUGAAAAGGAAAUGAGGAAAACUAUCCCAUUCACAAUAUCCUCAAAAAAUAAAAUACUUGGGAAUCAGUUUAACAAAAGAGGUGAAAGAUCUAUAAAAUGAAAACUACAGAAUCGUAAAGAGAGAAAGAGAAGAAGACCUUAGAAUAUGGAAAGAUUUACCUUCUGCUCAUGAUAGGCAGAAUUAAUAUUAUUAAAAUGACCAUACUACCAAAAGUACUACACAGGUUCGAUGCAAUUCCGAUCAAAAUCCCAAUGGCAUUCCUCAUAGAAAUAGAAAAAGCAAUCAUGAAAUUCAUCUGGAAAAAUAAGAGACCCAGAAUAGCUAAAGCAAUUCUAAGCAGGAAGAGUGAAACAGGUGGUAUCGCUAUACCAGACCUUAAACUAUACUACAGAGCAAUAGUAACAAAAAUAGCAUGGUACUGGCACCAAAACAGGCUGGCAGACCAAUGGUACAGAAUAGAGGACACAGAGACUAACCCACAAAAUUACAACUAUCUUAUAUUAGACAAAGGUGCCAAAAGCAUGUACUGGAGAAAGGAUAGCAUCUUCAACAAAUGGUGCUGGGAAAACUGGAAAUCCAUAUGCAACAAAAUGAAAUUGAAUCCCUAUCUCUCACCAUGCACAAAAGUUAACUCAAAAUGGAUCAAGGAUCUAGGAAUUAAACUACAGACUCUGUGUCUAAUAGAAAAAAAAGUAGGUCCUAAUCUUCAUCACGUGGGGCUAAGCCCCAACUUCCUUAAUAAGAUGCCUAUAGAACAAGAAUUAAAACCAAGAAUCAACAGAUGGGAUGGAUUCAGACUAAAAAGUUUUUUUUUUUUUUCUCAGCAAAAGAAAUAAUCUGUGAGGUGAACAGGGAGCCUACAUCCUGGGAACAAAUUUUUACCCCUCACACAUCAGAUAGAGCACUAAUCUCUAGGGUAUAUAAAGAGCUCAACAAGAUAAGCACCAAAAUAACAAAUAAUCCAAUCAAGAAAUGGGCCAAAGACCUGAACAGACACUUUUCAGAAGAGGAUAUACAAUUAAUCAACAAAUAUAUGAAAAAAUGUUCAACAUCUCUAGCAAUCAGAGAAAAGAUCAAAACUACUUUAAGAUACCAUCUCACUCCAGUAAGAAUAGCAGCUAUUAUGAAGACAAACAGCAACAAGUGUUGGUGAGGAUGUGGGGAAAAAAGUACACUCAUACACUGCUGGUGGGACUGCAAAUUACUGCAGCUAAUUUGGAAAGCAGUAUGGAGAUUCCUUGAAAAGCUGGGAAUGGAUCCACCAUUUGACCCAGCUAUUCCUCUUCUCAGACUAUACCUAAAGGACCCAAAAACAGCAUACUACAGGGAAACAGCCAUAUCAAUGUUUAUAGCAGCACAAUUCACAAUAGCUAAACUGUGGAGCCAACCUAGAUGUCCUUCAGUGGAUGAAUGGAUAAAAAAAAGGUGUGGCAUUUAUACACAAGGGAAUAUUACUCAGCACUAAAAAAAGAAUAAGAUCAUGAUAUUUGCAGGGAAAUGGAUGGCAUUAGAGAAGAUUAUGCUAAGUGAAGUUAGCUAAUCCCCUCCUCCCCAAAACAAAUGCCGGAUGUUUUCUCUGAUAUAAGGGGGGUGACUCAAAGUGGGGUAGGGAGGGAGAGC